rnacentral:rRNA from 1 species
GACGAACGCUGGCGGCGUGCUUAACACAUGCAAGUCGAGCGGAGCGGCGAACGGGUGAGUAACGCGUGAGUAACUGCCCCCCUCUCUGGGAUAACAGUUGGAAACGGCUGCUAAUACCGGAUAGUGGGGGAUGACUCGCGUCCUAUCAGCUUGUUGGUGGGGUAGUGGCCUACCACGGCGACGACGGGUAGCCGGCCUGGGAGGGCGACCGGGCUCAUGGGUCUGCGAUACGACCCAAACGCCAACGGGAGGCAGCAGGGGGGAGUAUGGCGCAAUGGGGGAAAGCAUGUGGAAGCAACGACGCGUGCGGGAUGACGGCCUUCGGGUUGGAAACCGCUUUCAGCCAUGAAGCGGUAGUGGCAGAAGAAGCACCGGCUAACUACGUGCCAGCAGCCGCGGUAAUAC